UACGGAGGGUGCAAGCGUUAUCCGGAUUCACUGGGUUUAAAGGGUGCGUAGGUGGGCAGUUAAGUCAGUGGUGAAAUCUCCGGGCUCAACCCGGAAACUGCCAUUGAUACUAUCUGUCUUGAAUAUCGUGGAGGUAAGCGGAAUAUGUCAUGUAGCGGUGAAAUGCUUAGAUAUGACAUAGAACACCAAUGGCGAAGGCAGCUUACUACCCGAAUAUUGACACUGAGGCACGAAAGCGUGGGGAUCAAACAGG
rnacentral:rRNA from 1 species